GAGGGGCAUUAUGUUUUCUGGUCUGUGCGUCCGUUCGUCCGUCCGUCCGUCCGUCUGUCCGUUCGUCCGUCUGUCCCGCUCCAGGUUAAAGUUUUUGGUCAAGGUAGUUUUUGAUGAAGUUGAGGUCCAAUCGACUUCAAACUUAGUACACAUUAUCCCUAUGAUAUGAUCUUUCUAAUUUUAAUGCCAAAUUAGAGUUUUUACCCCAAUUUCACGGUCCAUUGAACAUGGAAAAUGAUAGUGCGA
rnacentral:lncRNA from 1 species